GAGGUACGCGAGCUGGGUUUAGAACGUCGUGAGACAGUUCGGUCCCUAUCUACCGUGGGCGCUGGAAAUUUGAGAGGAUCUGCUCCUAGUACGAGAGGACCAGAGUGGACGAACCUCUGGUGUACCGGUUGUGACGCCAGUCGCAUCGCCGGGUAGCUAUGUUCGGAAGGGAUAACCGCUGAAAGCAUCUAAGCGGGAAGCCUACCUCAAGAUAAGAUUUCCCUAGGACUUUAUGUCCUCUAAAGAGCCGUUCGAGACUAGGACGUUGAUAGGUUGGAUGUGGAAGCAUAGUGAUAUGUGAAGCUGACCAAUACUAAUUGCUCGUGAGGCUUGACUAUACAACACCCAAGCAGUUG
rnacentral:rRNA from 1 species